UCUGACCGUAAACUAUGCCAUCUACCGAUCCGCUUGUGGAUUUUGUUCAUAGGCGGGGAGGACCCCGGAAACGAAAGUGUUUCGGCUACGGGGGAAGUAUGGUUGCAAAGCUGAAACUUAAAGGAAUUGACGGAAGGGCACCACCAGGAGUGGAGUUUGCGGCUUAAUUUGACUCAACACGGGAAAUCUCACCCGGCCAGUACAUUGUAAGGAUUGACGGACUGAUAGCUCUUUCAUGAUUCGGUGAAUGGUGGUGCAUGGCCGUUCUUAGUUCGUGGAUUGAUUUGUCUGCUUUAUUGCGAUAACGAACGAGACUUUGACUGUUAAAUAGUGCCCGUGUUCGUCCCGCACGUGGUCACUUCUUAGAGGAAUUGUUGGCUUCUAGCCUCAAGUGAUUGAGCAAUAACAGGUCUGUGAUGCCCUGAGAUGUUCGGGGCUGCACGCGUACUACAAUGGUGGUAACAGCGUGAUUGUCCUUCUCCGAAAGGAGUUGGCAAACAGUUGAGAUAGUACUGUGGCUGGAAUUGAGUGUUGAAAUUUUCGCUCGUGAACAAGGAAUUCCAAGUAAAUGUGCGUCAUCAACUCGCAUUG
rnacentral:rRNA from 1 species